UAUUUCUGUGAGACGGAGCAGCAGCAGCACAGCUUACGGACCAACGAAGCACCCAGCAGCAAGGCAAGCAAAACGCAAGGAAUCUAUCCCCUUGUCUCAGACAACCGGCACAACUAAGAGGGGCACAACAGAGAGAGAGAGAGAGAGAGAGAGAGAGAGAGAGAGAGAGAGAGAGAGAGAGAGAGAGAAAGAGAGGGACAGAGCGAUUGGACAAUUUAAUUUAAAGGGCUGCUGUUGCUACACCUGUGGAAAAAAAUAUCCCGUUCCUAUCCUCUCUUGCUGCUACCCCAGGUAUCCUGCCAGCCCUCCCCUGUCCUCUGAUACCCUCUGCAUGCCUUGACUGUCCCGGUCACCUCCAUCCCUGAGAGAGAGAGAGAGAGAGAGAGAGAGAGAGAGAGAGAGAGAGAGAGAGAGAGAGAGAGAGAGAGAGAGAGAGAGAGAGAGAGAGAGAGAGAGAGAGAGAGAGAGAGAGAGAGAGAGAGAGAGAGAGAGAAAGGGAGAGGGAGAGAGGGAGAGAGAAGUUUAAGAAGGAAAUUGAGACACAGAAGAUUUAACGUGCUACUGGUGUUGUAGCAUAAGAGAUACAGUACUGUCCCCCCUCUUCUCCUGUUCUGACAAGAGGCUGAGGUCAUGGUGAUGGUGCCUGGAGCUGCCAUGGUACCUGGAUUCUUACUACCCUGCCUCUGCACCCUGCUCUGCCUGGAUCUGCUGCUCCUCCCUGGGACGGUCGAGCCGUCGGUGCCCCUGGAGGACUUCUACCCCUUUGGCCAGGACUGGGGGGAUUUCCAGACGAUCUCUCAGGAUGAUGGAGGCUCAGGUCUGGUGGAGAUCUCUGUGGCGUUCCCCUUCUUCGGUGACAGGCACUCGGGACUCUACGUAAACAACAAUGGCCUGGUCUCGUUCCUCAGAGAGGUGUCUCAGUUCACACCAGUGGCCUUUCCCAUCGCCGGAGACCGGAGGGUUGUGGCGGCGUUCUGGGCUGACGUGGACAACAGGCGGGCGGGGCAAGUCUUCUACCGGGAGAGUAAAGACCCGUCUGUGCUCCUGAGGGCCACAGCUGACGUCAAACGAUACUUCUCUGGGUUCCCGGAAUUCACUGCGACGUGGAUCCUCAUCUCGACGUGGCACAAAGUCACCUUCUUUGGAGGGAGUGACAUCACACCGGUGAAUACAUUCCAAUUGGUGCUGAUCACCAACGGGGAGGUAUCCUUCACCAUCUUCCAGUAUCAUGAGAUCACCUGGACCACAGGCAUGCACGCCAGCAGUGGAGGAGACCUGGCAGGGCUCGGAGGCAUCGCUGCACAGGCAGGUUUUAACGCUGGCGACGGGAAACGCUACUUCAACAUCCCGGGGUCUCGUACUGAUGACAUGGUGGAUGUGGAGGGAACCACCAACGUAGGUCACCCCGGGAGAUGGGUGUUCCGGAUCGACAAUGCACAGGUGGAGGUGGGUGGCUGCAACCACUCAGCGUCUGUGUGUCCACACCUUCGACCCUGUCUGAAUGGAGGUCUCUGUAUUGAUGACUGCAUCACCGGCAACCCUUCUUUCUCCUGCUCCUGUCUGGCUGGGUUCACCGGAAGGUGGUGCCAGAUAGAUGUAGAGGAAUGUUCGUCCUACCCCUGUCAGAACGGAGGUACCUGCUCAGACCAGGUUAACGGGUUCACCUGCCAGUGUACACCUGGGUUUACAGGGACAGUCUGUCAAACAGACAUUGACGAGUGUAAAGACAGACCCUGCCUCAACGGAGCGCUGUGUGUGCCAGGUGUCGACAGCUUCACCUGUGUGUGUGAGAGUGGCUACUCUGGGACUCUGUGUGAGACAGACAUGGACGAGUGUGUUUCCCAGCCCUGCCUGAAUGGAGGACAGUGUAAAGACCAGGUGAAUGGUUACAACUGCACCUGUCCUGCUGUCUUCACCGGGACACACUGUGAAACAGAGUUGGUGGUGGUCCAGGUGAAUUCAUCAUUGGCUCCUCAAACUGACAAUCAAACGGUGUCUUGUAAAGGGGAGGGCUGUGAGAACCGUCCGACCUGUGAAUACCUCGGCCCAGGGAACCACAACUGUACCUGCAUCCAGGGUUUCUAUGGUGACAACUGUGAAGGAGAGUGUCUGUGCCAGAAUGGAGGGGUCUGUGUGGACGGGACCUGUGUCUGCACCUCCGGCUUCACCGGAAUCUACUGUCAGUUUGAGGUGACCCAGACCCCAUGCAGUAACAGCAGGCCGUGUCCUGACGGAGGACCCUGUCUGGAGUACGGAGGAACCUACCUGUGUACCUGUCAGACAGGUGUGGCAGACCUAGAUCACAAGGACUUCUAUCCACCCUAUGUACAGCCUCGAUCGGUCUGUGAUUCGUCUCCGUGUCUGAACGGAGGUCAGUGCUAUGAGAGAGAUGGAGGCUACACCUGCGAGUGCAAGCAAGGAUACAGAGGGAAGCACUGUGAGAAAGUCAGACUCAAUACCUGUGCCUCUGGCCCGUGUCGAAACGGAGGCUCCUGUAAAGAGGAGGCAGGGAGCUUCCUCUGUGUCUGUCCAUACAGGUUCACUGGCAAACACUGUGAAGUGGGGAGGCCAGACCCGUGCUCCUCCAGCCCCUGUCUGAACGGAGGAACAUGUUUCCACUACAUCGGGAAGUACAAGUGUGAAUGUUCCGGAGCCUUCAGCGGGAGACACUGUGACAUCAGCAGGGGAUCAGCACACUCCACAGCAGACCUGGACUGUGGUCCCCCCCUGCAGGUGAAGCAUGCAGAGCUCCAGUUCUCCUCUACGUCGCCAGGCUCCAUGGCGCUGUACGUGUGCCACCCAGGAUACAUCCCCAUGCCCAGGGCCACCCAGAGCAUCUGUGGGGGGCAGGGGGCCUGGAGCCAGCCUCCUGUCUGCCAGGAUAUGGAUGAGUGUCUGUCGGGGCCCUGUAAACACGGAGGAACAUGUGAGGACCAGCCGGGUUCCUACUACUGCCACUGCCAACACGGCUUCAGAGGACAAGACUGUGAGAUCGUGGAGAAUCCCUGUGUACUGCAGCCUUGUGGGAACAGAGGCCUCUGCCAUAGUGACAGGAAAGGGAACUACAGCUGUACUUGCAAAGUGGGUCACACAGGCAAGGACUGUGAGAGAGACCUGUUGCCUCCCUCUGGUCUGCAUGUACUUCGGGUGGAGGAGGAUGAGGUGGAGUUGCGCUGGGACCUGCCGGACCCCUCGUCUCAGAGCCUGAUCAGUGGCUUCGCUGUGACCUACGCCCCUCUGGGUCUCCCGGGCCGUGGCAGUGGAACCAGGAAGACCGACUUCCUGGACAAGAAGCAGUCCACCUAUCAGCUGCAGGGCCUGGUGCCCGGCCUGCUGUACAACAUCUCUACGUUCUCAGUGAAACGAAACACCAAGAGCAACGACAUCAGCCAGCCAGCCAUCGCUCUCAUACGCACCCGGCCACGGCAGGUGGACCAGCUGCAGGUAGUCAACGUAUCGUCCUCCCAGGUAUGGCUGAGGUGGCUGGUUCAGGCUGCUCGUCAUGCUACCGUCAGCCAGGUGCGCCUUUCCCUGGUCUCCUGGGACGGUAGUGGAGUUGCCACCGCUCUGCUCAACACCAGCACAAUGGAAUAUGCCUUCAGCUCUCUGCUCCCUGGUCAGAUGUACACGGUGGACGUUCUAACUCAGAGUGGUAUCAGACCAGACGAGUCGCCCUCCACCAGUCACUCUGCUGGACCGCUGCAAGUCUGGACCAGACCCCUCCCCCCUCAGAACCUGUCUCUGACCCAUGUGACUUCCAACUCCGCCCUGGUGACGUGGGAUCCCCAUCCCAGGAACCUGCCAGACGGCUUCGUGGUCAAUGUGACGCGAGGCCUGAGCACCCGGAGUCGCUUCCUACCCAAUGGGAAGCUGCGAACAUAUACCCUAAGAGAGCUUUCCCCAGGACAACACUACCACCUAGUCCUCAUGGCUGUUAGGAACACAGGACAGGAACAGAUUCACAGUGUACCACAACACCUGGCCUUCACCACAUUACCGAUGGACGAGCGACGGGGAGGGAGGACGAGGGAGAGACCGUCUGUCGGGGGGACCCCUGUGAGUCAUACACUAGCCCCGUCUGAACCUCAGGACCUGGGGGUGACUGGAGAGAGAGAGCACUCUGAAGAGAUGCCCAGAUACACAGAACUGAUUGAUGGAAGGGGUAGGAUAACAGCUAAGUUCACGAGCCUGCCCAGAAAGGUCGUCAGACACCGCACUAAGCCUGAGCUUCCUAUUCAGUUCCAGAAGAUGGAGAAGACAACUAAUCAAAUCGGCCUUGCCCUAGAGAGGAAGGAGGAAGAGGAGGGGCCUGAGUCGUCCCGGGACUGCCAGAGCCUGCCCUGCCUGAACGGGGGUACGUGUGAGAAGGGGAGCGACUCAUACAUCUGCAAUUGCGCAGCUGGGUUCAAGGGCAGGCAGUGUGAGCUGUUCUGCCAACGAGUGCCCCACCCGUGUACCCGCCUCUACUCUGAAACCAAGAGCAUGCCCGUCUGGGUGGGUGAAGUCUGCCAUUACCUGUACAAACGGACGUUUAAAGUGCAACAGGAUGUUUGUUAUCGAGAGAUCUGUGAACCACCGCUGCCCAAGAAAAGUCCCAACAGAAGAACCAACAGCCAAUCAUAAUGGUUGGUUUUCUAUGAUACAAAUUGUAUUUGUCACAUACAACAAGUGGAGAUAGACCUCACAGUGAAAUGCCGACUGAUCAGCCCUAAACCAACAAGUGUAGACCUCACAGUGAAAUGCUGACUGAUCAGCCCUUAACCAACAGGUGUAUACCUCACAGUGAAAUACUGACUGACCAGCCCUUAACCAACAGGUGUAGAUAGACCUCACAGUAAAAUGCUGACUGACCAGUCCUUAACCAACAGGUGUAGAUAGACCUCACAGUGAAAUGCUGACUGACCAGCCCUUAACCAACAGGUGUAGAUAGACCUCACAGUAAAAUGCUGACUGACCAGCCCUUAACCAACAGGUGUAGAUAGACCUCACAGUGAAAUGCUGACUGACCAGCCCUUAACCAACAGGUGUAGAUAGACCUCACUGUGAAAUGCUGACUGACCAGCCCUUAACCAACAGGUGUAGAUAGACCUCACAGUGAAAUGCUGACUGAUCAGCCCUAAACCAACAGGUGUAGAUAGACCUCACAGUGAAAUGCUGACUGAUCAGCCCUAAACCAACAGGUGUAGAUAGACCUCACAGUGAAAUGCUGACUGAUCAGCCCUAAACCAACAGGUGUAGAUAGACCUCACAGUGAAAUGCUGACUGAUCAGCCCUAAACCAACAGGUGUAGAUAGACCUCACAGUGAAAUGCUGACUGACUUACAAGCUUUUUCCUCAUUGAUGCGGAGAUAAAAUAAGAAAAUAAAAACAUGAGAAAUAAAACACACUUAGAUGACCCCUGUUGUAGGAUGACCCUUGUUGUAGGAUGACCCAUGUUGUCCAGAGAUUGGCCUGUUGGACGACCCCUGUUGUCCAGAGAUUGGCCUGUUGGACGACCCCUGUUGUCCAGAGAUUGGCCUGUUGGACAACCCAUGUUGUCCAGAGAUUGGCCUGUUGGAUGACCCAUGUUGUCCAGAGAUUGGCCUGUUGGACGACCCCUGUUGCCCAGGGAUUGGCCUGUUGGACGACCCAUGUUGCCCAGGGAUUGGCCUGUUGGACAACCCAUGUUGUCCAGAGAUUGGCCUGUUGGACAACCCAUGUUGUCCAGAGAUUGGCCUGUUGUAGCCCCAGCUUGAGUAAAGACUAUCAAGCAACCAACUGGAACAAUGAUAAUUGGCUGCUCAUCAAUAAUUAAAUGUACUAGAAACAGUCCAGACCAGUGUAGAAUCCAAACAUGAUACGUACCUCAUCACUUCCAUGUUAUCGGUUUAGUCUCUCAGCUCAGGAAAAUGUGUAUAGUAGGACUGUCUGUUUUAUCACAAGCAAACGCUAUUUAAAAUAUGGAUUGAUUGCUUUACCAUGGUCUUACAAUGCC